AUCCAACUGACGAGUCCCAAAAAGGACGAAACGCGUGUCCUAGAU
rnacentral:hammerhead_ribozyme from 1 species